rnacentral:rRNA from 1 species
CCUACGGGGGGCUGCAGUGGGGAAUAUUGCGCAAUGGGCGAAAGCCUGACGCAGCGACGCCGCGUGAGGGAUGAAGGUCUUCGGAUCGUAAACCUCUGUCAGCAGGGAAGAACGGUCACUGUGCUAAUCAGCAGUGAAUUGACGGUACCUGCAAAGGAAGCACCGGCUAACUCCGUGCCAGCCGCCGCGGUAAUACGGAGGGUGCGAGCGGUAAUCGGAAUUACUGGGCGUAAAGCGCGCGUAGGCGGUAUGUCAAGUCAAGGGUGAAAUCCCCGCGCUCAACGUGGGAACUGCCUUUGAAACUGGCAAACUGGAGUGUGUGAGAGGAUAGUGGAAUUCGAGGUGUAGGAGUGAAAUCCGUAGAUAUCUGGAAGAACAUCAGUGGCGAAGGCGACUAUCUGGCACAUAACUGACGCUGAGGAGCGAAAGCGUGGGUAGCAAACAGGAUUAGAUACCCUAGUAGUC